rnacentral:lncRNA from 1 species
CUCAGCUCCCACAGGGAGUCCUCCAAGGGCUCAGCACUGGCACCCAAACAGGUUCUCAGUGUCAGGCACUGAGGGAGCUUGGUGCCCCUUUUGCCCAUCAGAGUCUUCUUGUUUCCAGGAUUGAAGUUCAGGAACCAAAGACUUACAGACGACUUAGUUCCCUCAAGCCCCGAAGAGAUUCACAGUCAUGGGGCGGGGGUGCCCGAAGAGUGAGCAUUUAUGAUCCAGUGGUGCUGGCUCGGCGCAGGGUAUCUCAGGUUUUGAGGGUAGUGAGAAAAUUCAAGGAGCUGGAGGAGGAAAUGCAAAGGGAUAAAGCCAGCUUUGUGCCACAGCCUGAGGAGGAGCAUGCUGAAGAGGUGGAACAACCAAAACCUCCAGAUGAGCUGGAGCCCUCUGCCAGUGCCAAGCAGUCCUCCAGAGUUGGUAUGUCAGAGGAUUGAUCCGCCACCUCUUGAAUCCCCCUGUG